rnacentral:rRNA from 1 species
AGUGAACGCUGGCGGUAGGCCUAACACAUGCAAGUCGAACGGCAGCACAGUAAGAGCUUGCUCUUACGGGUGGCGAGUGGCGGACGGGUGAGGAAUACAUCGCAAUCUACUUUUACUUGGAGGAUAACGUAGGGAAACUUACGCUAAUACAUCAUACGACCUACGGGUGAAAGCAGGGGAUCUUCGGACCUUGCGCGAUUGAUUGAGCCGAUGUCGGAUUAGCUAGUUGGCGGGGUAAAGGCCCACCAAGGCGACGAUCCGUAGCUGGUCGGAGAGGAUGAUCAGCCACACUGGAACUGAGACACGGUCCAGACUCCUACGGGAGGCAGCAGUGGGGAAUAUUGGCCAAUGGGCGCAAGCCUGAUCCAGCCAUACCGCGUGGGUGAAGAAGGCCUUCGGGUUGUAAAGCCCUUUUGUUGGGAAAGAAAAGCAGCAGGUUAAUACCCCGCUGUUCUGACGGUACCCAAAGAAUAAGCACCGGCUAACUUCGUG